rnacentral:rRNA from 1 species
GAUGAACGCUAGCUACAGGCUUAACACAUGCAAGUCGAGGGGCAGCAUGACCUAGCAAUAGGUUGAUGGCGACCGGCGCACGGGUGAGUAACACGUAUCCAACCUGCCGAUUAUUCCGGGAUAGCCUUUCGAAAGAAAGAUUAAUACUGGAUAGCAUAACGAGAAGGCAUCUUCUUGUUAUUAAAGAAUUUCGAUAAUCGAUGGGGAUGCGUUCCAUUAGUUUGUUGGCGGGGUAACGGCCCACCAAGACAUCGAUGGAUAGGGGUUCUGAGAGGAAGGUCCCCCACAUUGGAACUGAGACACGGUCCAAACUCCUACGGGAGGCAGCAGUGAGGAAUAUUGAUCAAUGGACGAGAGUCUGAACCAGCCAAGUAGCGUGAAGGAUGACUGCCCUAUGGGUUGUAAACUUCUUUUAUAUGGGAAUAAAGUGGGCCACGUGUGGCUUUUUGUAUGUACCAUACGAAUAAGGAUCGGCUAACUCCGUG